AUAUGCCUGGCUCCCUGUAUGCCAUACGAGUAAAGCGUCGAGAGAUGUCGAUGGAAUUCCCGCGGAUGGCGUAUGGGGAGCCAAGCAUGU
rnacentral:pre_miRNA from 1 species